CCGCGUGGCUCUAUGGAUAGAGCGUCUUACUUUCAAUCAGAAGAUUGUCGAUUCGAUUCCGCCCGUGG
rnacentral:tRNA from 1 species